GAUGAACGCUAGCGGCAGGCUUAAUACAUGCAAGUCGUGGGGCAGCAUGAGUAGCAAUACUUGAUGGCGACCGGCAAACGGGUGAGGAACACGUACACAACCUUCCUUCAAGCGGGGAAUAGCCCAGAGAAAUUUGGAUUAAUACCCCAUAAUAUAUUUGAUAAGGCAUCUUAUUAAUAUUAAAGCUUCGGCACUUGAUGAUGGGUGUGCGGCUGAUUAGAUAGUUGGCGGGGUAACGGCCCACCAAGUCUACGAUCAGUAGCUGAUGUGAGAGCAUGAUCAGCCACACGGGCACUGAGACACGGGCCCGACUCCUACGGGAGGCAGCAGUAAGGAAUAUUGGACAAUGGACGAAAGUCUGAUCCAGCCAUGCCGCGUGAAGGAUUAAGGUCCUCUGGAUUGUAAACUUCUUUUAUAUGGGACGAAAAAGGGACAUUCUUGUUCACUUGACGGUACCAUAUGAAUAAGCACCGGCUAACUCCGUGCCAG
rnacentral:rRNA from 1 species